rnacentral:rRNA from 1 species
UGCCAGCCGCCGCGGUAAUACGGAGGGGGUUAGCGUUACUCGGAAUCACUGGGCGUAAAGAGCAUGUAGGCUGGUUUGUAAGUUGGAAGUGAAAUCCUAUGGCUUAACCAUAGAACUGCUUCCAAAACUGCAGACCUAGAAUAUGGGAGAGGUAGAUGGAAUUUCUGGUGUAGGGGUAAAAUCCGUAGAGAUCAGAAGGAAUACCGAUUGCGAAGGCGAUCUACUGGAACAUUACUGACACUGAGGAACGAAAGCAUGGGUAGCGAAGAGGAUUAGAUA